rnacentral:rRNA from 1 species
UACGUAGGGUGCGAGCGUUAAUCGGAAUUACUGGGCGUAAAGCGUGCGCAGGCGGCGAUGUAAGACAGGUGUGAAAUCCCCAGGCUCAACUUGGGAACUGCGUCUGAUACUGGAUGGCUUGAAUUCGGGAGAGGGAUGCAGAAUUCCAGGUGUAGCGGUGAAAUGCGUAGAUAUCUGGGGGAAUACCGGUGGCGAAGGCGGCAUCCUGGACCGAUAUUGACACUGAGGAGCGAAAGCCAGGGGAGCAAACGGG